rnacentral:rRNA from 1 species
GUCCUCUUGUGUUAUGUAGGAGGUCUGACCUGCCCGGUGAAAUAGAUUUUUUAACGGCCGCGGUAUUUUGACCGUGCAAAGGUAGCAUAAUCAUUAGUCUUUUAAUAGGGGGCUGGAAUGAAAGGUUUGACGAGGUUCUGACUGUCUCAUUUAAUUUGAGAUUAGAAUUUAACUUUUCAGUCAAAAGGCUGAAAUAACAUUGGAAGACGAGAAGACCCUAUAGAGCUUUAUAUUUAUGAUUUUGGUUAGCUUUUGUUUAUUAUUGUUACUUAGGGUUUAUAAGUAUUUUGUUGGGGUGACAAAAAUAUAUAAUCAACUUUUUUAUUAAUUUUACAUUGAUUUAUGGGCUUAAGAUCCAAUCUUAUUGAUUAUUAGAUUAAGUUACCUUAGGGAUAACAGCGUAAUCUUCCUCCAGAGUUCAUAUUUACAGGGAGGCUUGCGACCUCGAUGUUGGAUUAAGAAAAUAAUUAGGUGUAGCCGCUUAAUAUAUAGGUCUGUUCGACCUUUAAAUUCUU